AACUGGCUGGCUCAGUCAGUAGAGCAUGAGACUCUUGAUCCUGGGGUUGUAGGUUCGAGCCCCACGUUAGGUG
rnacentral:tRNA from 1 species